ensembl:lncRNA
CUGAAAAAGCUGUCAAAUUUCUUUCCUCAUCUGCAGUUUCUUAGUGGGUUUUGUGUGUGUGUGUGUCUGGGGAGGGGUUUCAUCCAUUCUAUUACCACAUGCAGCGCAGUGAUGCCAUAUUUCUAGUUCUAAUGCAUAUUUUCCCUAACUCAAGCUGUCAUCUAGCGAUUACUUUUUGUCAUGGAGUAAGUUUUAAACAAGUAUCAUGAUGUUUCCUGCCUAGUCGUGAAAGGAUCAGAGCGUGCCUUUGUUUCUGCUCUCUAUUUGUGUACCACAAACCAGGUUGUAUGGGACUUCUCUACCCCAAAGCUUGGGCAGUCAUCAUGACAGAGAACUGCGAGAGCCAGGAGAAUGCAUCUGGACCGUGGCUGCUUGGAGACACAGGAGCUGGGGAGCCCUGCUGAUCUGGCUACAAGAGCUUCCAGCACUAUUCCAGUCUUCAUUAACUCAUCACAUACAAUACAAAGAAGUGAAUUGCACUGGAUUAGUCAAAUGUCUGCAUGGAUUUAUAAGGAAUGAGAGAUCCACGCAGAAUGUUCUUGUGGGCUUAAAGAAGAACCUCUGACGAAGCAGAAAGCUAUAAGUUUGAGGGGGAAAAAAGAGAAGAGAGAGGCUGGGUAUAAAAUAGCGACCAUCAACCAUCCCUAAUGUUCAUUAAUGUUCCUGAAUGGAGCUCAGCAGCAAAGCUGGGCUGCUGUUGGUUGAUGAAGAGCCUUUCCUCUGAGGGUGUGGAUUCUGAAAAACACCACUAGAAAAAUGCAGGCAUACUUGUAUAUAUGUAUAUAUCCAUGCCAUGCCAACUUGGAUGUGUUUGCCAGUUAUUUGAUUCGGUGUGGGGAGGACUUCAUCCCGUGUCAGUACUCACGGUCUUAAAUGGGAGCACUUUACCCUACUUAUUUGUUUUUUAACUUCUGAAGGAAUGACUGAAAACUCAUCCAAAGUCAUGAACGCCUGUGGGCAUUCCCUGGAAGAAUUCCCUUCAUGCCUGGCACAGUGUGUCCCAAAGUGAUGCUAACCCCUAGAUGUUGAAGAGGAGGAUGACAUCACACAGCUCUGGUUGAAGCCAUCUGCUCAUGGUGCUGAACUGGAAGGUGAGCUCCUGCAGAAACGCGGCCCUCGUUGAGAGUAUUGAGCUUUGCUGAAAGUCCUGACUCUUUUCCACAUUCACAAGGACAGCCUUACAAUGCAAAGCCUCUCCUUGGCAUAAGGACAGAUGCAAGCUUAUAACAGUAUGCACUUAGUUAUAGAGGUAAUUUUAUUUGCCUUUGUUAGAAUCUUUAAUAUAAAACUCAGUAAAAUGACCUCUCUAAUAAAAAUGGCUCAGAGAAAUAACAAUAAACAGGUUUUAUGAUACGGAAGAUGCAUUUAAAAAAUCCUGCUAAGGAAAAUGAUCUUAGGAGUCUCAAGAAAAUAUUAAUAUGAAAGGAGAGACUUUUUCCCUAUCCGCUACAAUCAAAGAUGGGUGGUCUGCAUGCCACGUGAGCUUCCUUGCUCCAGCUCUUGUGGGCAGGAGGAGGGGAAGCUGUACUCUAUCUCAGUAAUGAACUCUGACUGUCCAGGAAAGCAUUUAUUUUUGCAAAAUUAAAAAGGGGGGGAGUCAAUGGAUCUGUUUAUAGCUAUAUAAAAAGGCAGAAAAGUUAAUGCUAACAUAUGUUGCUUCAUGUUCCCAGAGCAAAAACAUUUGCAGGAUAAUAUCCCGGAGCGCAGGUGGUAAGCGAUCAAUACUCUUAUUUGUUUUUAAGGGAUGGCAGAACUGCUCACCUAUAGGAGUUGCAGUGAAUGCGUAGAACCCCUACGGACACAUGGCAUUAAUGUACGGGUGUUGUAGGCGUUUUAUUACAUAGACUUCAGGAGUUGGCACUCAGCUACCAGGAUCUCUAUAGCUUUUGUUCAGUGGGAGGUGUCCAUACCAAGCACAGUUCUAGAUCCUAAUGGGGUGGAAGGACAUGUGCCACAGGGGAAUCCAUGGAAAAUUGAAUCAUGGUCGUGUCUUCUGCUGGCUGAGCAGGUUUCUUCUGUUAUCUAGCAUGAAUCACAUCCAAUUCCAGUGUCACAUCUCUAGAAAAUGAUGAAAAUGCUUUCUUUCUCCUGCUUAUUGAUACAGGAUGUUUAGGUCAGGAAUAGACUCCUGGCCUGAGCUUUUAGACUGCAUGGCCCCAGAGCUGCAAACUCAUGUAGCUAACCAUGCACUACCACUAUGAUGAUAUCCAGAGAUGUCAUCUCUCUUUACGGAUCUACACAGACUGUAGAUUUUUCUUCAGGGAUACAUGCCCCUAGAGAUAAAUCUUCCUCUCUUUAAUCCAAAACAUCCAACUGGCAAUUACUUGCAUCUCACAAAGAUUUCACUGGAAGUGACCUUUGGUGGUUUUGGGACAAAACGUGAACCUUUCAUCUUUCCCGUGGCUGUAAGUGAUCAGAUAGAGGCAAAACCCUAUUUCCUGCCUUCCCAUACCUGCUGAGAGGGAGCCGGGGGGCUGCUGGUGUGAGAUCACCAUCUUUCAGAGGACAGCAAAAUGCUUUAUGAAGACUGUGAUCUAAAUACAGAUGAGAUAGCUGGCAAGGCUCCAGCUAUUGCUUCAGGACCUUGUAUAUCUUCUCUGCCUUCAGGACCCAGGUGUUGCCAGUUACCGCCAGUAUUCCUGACGUCAGAUAUGGUUUCUUCCAUUCAUGAGGCCAACGGAACAGUUGACCACAAAGAGUCUAACCCUAGGUGUUUUGUUUGAGAGACAUGUAGUACUUUUUUUCCAUAGAGAGGGAAGGUACUUUGUGCUCACUGUACUGGGCCUUCAGUUCGCUUUCUCAUUCAGACCAGGGCCAGGUAAGCCAAGAUAAACUGGGAACUCUGGAAGUGUAGGCCCUCUUCUUCCCAUUGUCCCCAGACUAGAAGAUGGUCUGGUGGUUCAAGCUGGGUUAUGCUGGGCCCCUGCCUGCUUUUUCUUGGACUUGUGCAUAUUAAUGUUUCCAUCGAGCACUUUGAUCAUUGGCAAACUGUUCUCUGCCAGCAUUGUUCCAUCAGAGAGUUUGAAAGCUCAUCUUGAGAGAAGAUUAACUAAUAAUCAGUGAUGCUUUUGUUACAUGCAUUCCCACAAGACCCACUGCUGGUGACUUGACUGAAAACAUGAAUGAAUUGAGCUUUACUCCACGUCUGCGAGUUAGAGAAAUAUGUCAUUUUAACUUUUUCAGUAACAUAAGCAGUUUUUCAGAACAUUAAACUCACUGGACACAACACAACUAGAGAGUUUUGCUGUUUUCCUCCAGCUGCUAACAGAGCUAAAUGUUUUCCCAGUGUAAAUAGCAGGGCCAUGGAUGGGGUCAGCUCCCCUCCAGCCCCACUCUGUGUCAUGGCCGUGCAAACGCCACCUGAGCAAUUCUCCUUGGACUGCAUUGUAGUAAAGAACAUCGGGAAAAUGAUUCCAAAAUUGAAGGCUAUCCUGAUGUCUUUACUAGCAAUAUCUGUUUUUAAAUUGAGUGAGCUCUGGCUUGUGUCUCUAUCUGUUCCAGCUGCAGAAUUAUGGCUGGAGGACAGAGGCACUCUCCUGGGUGUGAAAUAUUGCAAGGAGGGAGUGCAUUCCGAACACAGGGGUGGCCUGGCAGAGGAGGGUACCAUGGAGAAGUGGUUAGACCCAGAAAGAAGCUGAACGUUAGAUCUGCAAACACGUUUCAAGUUCUCUGGUUUUGAGAAAACUUCCUAGGGUUUUAAUUCAUCGUUUCUCUUGUUUUUGCAGCAAGAACAACUGUGGUUACCUCACUGCUCUGGCUCUGUGCUGACAGAGGGCACUGGGGAGAGAUCUAUCACUGCUGAUGUUGAGGCUUUGCCGAUAACCUCUGCCCGGGGCUGGGUGAAGCUACAAACGCUGCCCAGUCUUCGGAGGUGGGAGAGUGCUUUCUUCUCUGCUUGAUGUAUUUCUUUAAUGCGUGUUGAUGCUGUAUGUUAUUAAAAUCCAUUACCUCCUUCAUUUAUUUCCUUUCCUCUGGACUCAAUUAUCUUGUGUUUCUGUUUUUGGAAAAGUAGGUCGAAGCAGAUACAUGAGAAAUAAUAUCCAAUCUGUAUUUCUUAAGGUACAGGACCAGUCUGUCAGGCUGUUGGCACACAACAACAAUUGUUUUAUUGUCAGAGUAAGUAAAUAAGAACAAGAAGUCUUAAGUAUUGGCAUAUGUUGAUACGUGGCCAAAAAGGUCUCUAAACAAUACAUUUUCUUUUCAUUCCAGAAACCUCAUACUCCGUUAUUUCUCUUUUAAUGCUGUUGGCAAAUACCCAUGUCACCAUCUAAUUUUGACUAUAGUUCAACUUUUUUAGUGCAAACUUAAUCCUCAUUAUAGUUGUAAACAUGUGUUUCAUUUGGCCUCGUGCUCAUGUGCUAAAGUGACAAAGGCAAUCUAGGGUUUGUAUCAGAAAUGGAGAUGUAUAGGUAAGCAUUUUGUUCAAUCUGCUUUGCCUCUUAUACAGAGAAAAUCAGCCCAGUUGCUUAGUAAGGAAGAAUGUUUUUAUAAGGCUCUUUGUGCUCUCGUGCUUGGCCUGUUUCCUGCUCUGCAGCGGGUUUUGGAAAGAUGGGACACUUCAAGGGAAAACGAGCAAGUGAAUCAAGGAACUGUUGCAAGAGCCUUUGGGAUUUUGUGUAGUGAGCAUCUUCUAUGUUUUCACGCGUUCUUCAGAAAUAGUUUUUUCAUAUUUUUUUUAGUUUUACGUUACUCAGUUUUCACACAGAAGAUUCAAGUUUGCAAAUUACUGCUAGGUUAAGUCUACUAGGAAGAUAUCAAGCAGCAGGAGCAGUUUGGCACCAAGCAAAGGAGAGAGGUCUGUUCCUGGCAAUGGCGUGCAGUGUGAUGGAAGGAUGCUUGGUGGCAGUUCCCAUCCAAUGGUAAUCACGCUGAAGCAGAAAAUAUAUGCAGAAAUUCCCUAGCAGGCACAGCCCAUCUGCUUGGGCUGCUGUGGGGACCACAGUUUUAACAGCUGGCAACUUGGUCAGAGUUUGUCUGCACUUUAAAGAGAAACAGUUUGCUACAAAACAUUUUUCUAUAUUCAAAUACACACUUGAGCCACAAGCAUUUCUCCGUGUUUGCGUAUACCACUGAGUCACAAAUUGUAUUUAAAUAGGUCCCAAAUUCAAUCCAUACAUCUCCAGUCAUUUUCACCCCAUUAUCCUUUCUGUUUCUUGCUAUUUUUCUCACCGAGUGGUGGUAAACCCCAGGCCCAUUCUCAAGCAUGUGGUUGAUAUAAGAGGAAAGGAAAGUUCUUUUCAAAUAUUAAAAUGUUUUUAAAUGCUGUUUUAUAGCAAUCAUGGUCAUCUGCAAGGAAUCAGUUUUCAAAGAAGCAUUUGACGGACUGACACCCACUGGAGCCGGGGACAAGAUGAAAUGCUCCGAUUCAAAGCAGAUUAGGACUUGCUGUUCUGGAAAUCAAGUGAGUUUUGAAGAGGCUGAUGAAGCUCAAUUUCAAAACUAUCAAUCUGGUUUUUAAAAUGUGUUGGGAUCCAGACUGGCUAUAGCAAAAUAGAGUUUUACACCAUACAGUGGUCAUCCCUAUUUGACAACGGUGGAAGACUGUGACUGUACAAUAGCUAUUGAUAAUCCUUCUAUAAAGGACUAAUGCCUACUGAGUGACACGGGGCAUUGCUCUCAACACGGGAUAUAUGCUUCCAAGGUACCUGCUCUGCGAGGACCACAGCCAGCUGAGAACUGAAAGCUAUGGGAGAGCGUGGCAUGCUUUGUAGAGAGGGCAACAGUAAGGAGAAAUGCUAAACAUAUUAGACAAAUCAUCUCUUCUUUCAUUGAACAACUCCAGCCAUGACCUCUGAUCCUCUUGGUAAAAGCUGAAUUUAAUUUCUGCUGUCCCCCACCCAAUAUUUCUUGUGCAUUUGCUAUAUAGCUUCCUGCAAUCCCAUUUAUUGCUCUCCAGAGCUCACAGAAUGUUUGCUUCCUGCAAACUUCGAUUUAUAUUUUUGCCAUUAACUGUAGAUACUCUUUUGUUUGCACACUUAGAGAACUUUCAGUAUUAAGUUUCAAUGUGUUAACAUGGAAUAAACUGGAAAGAAACUAUUUCUUGGUUGGAAUUGAUCAGGUCCUCAGCUGAAUGGUCACAUUUCAGGUUGUUGGAAUUACACAGAGGCAGCUCUUGCGUUUUCCAUUGGUUGAGCUGUCUUUACUGCAUAUCCAGGUUCAGAAGCAGCAAAGCCUUGGGUUUGGAUUUCCUUUUUCAUUUGUUCCCUUGAGGAAUGCUGGUAGGGAACAGUCAAGUGAACAAGAGCUGACGCUAGCUCUGCUUUAGAAACCAUUCAUGCUUUUCAGGUGUCCAGCUCCCGAACUACUCAGGGCAGGAGGGG